GAUUAACGCUAGCGGCAGGCCUAAUACAUGCAAGUCGAACGGUAACAGGUCCAGCAAUGGAUGCUGACGAGUGGCGCACGGGUGCGUAACACGUAUGCAAUCUACCCUUAACUGGGGGAUAGCCCCGAGAAAUCGGGAUUAAUACCCCAUAAUAUUAUGAAGUGGCAUCAUUUUAUAAUUAAAGCUGCGGCGGUUUUGGAUGAGCAUGCGCGACAUUAGCUAGUUGGUGAGGUAACGGCUCACCAAGGCUUCGAUGUCUAGGGGUUCUGAGAGGAUUCACCCCCACACUGGUACUGAGACACGGACCAGACUCCUACGGGAGGCAGCAGUAAGGAAUAUUGGUCAAUGGACGCAAGUCUGAACCAGCCAUGCCGCGUGCAGGAUGACGGCCCUACGGGUUGUAAACUGCUUUUGUACGGGAAAAAACCUCCGGUCGUGAAUCGGAGCUGAUGGUACCGUAAGAAUAAGCAUCGGCUAACUCCGUGCCAGCAGCCGCGGUAAUACGGAGGAUGCAAGCGUUAUCCGGAUUCAUUGGGUUUAAAGGGUGCGCAGGCGGAAUGAUAAGUCAGUGGUGAAAUCUCUCGGCUCAACUGAGAAACUGCCAUUGAUACUGUUGUUCUUGAGUACACUUGAAGUGGGCGGAAUGUGUCAUGUAGCGGUGAAAUGCUUAGAUAUGACACAGAACACCGAUCGCGAAGGCAGCUCACUAAAUUGUAACUGACGCUCAGGCACGAAAGCGUGGGGAUCAAACAGGAUUAGAUACCCUGGUAGUCCACGCCGUAAACGAUGAUCACUCGAUGUUGGCGAUAUACAGUCAGCGUCUAAGCGAAAGCAUUAAGUGAUCCACCUGGGGAGUACGGCCGCAAGGUUG
rnacentral:rRNA from 1 species